CCACCUCACCAAACCUAAAUCCUCUCAGGCGCUCCCUCCCUCGGCCGCCGACCGCUAGAUCUAGCAACCCGCGCGCCGUCGCCACUCGCCAGCACGCCGUCACUGCGGCAGCGAGGUUGCUGCCAUGUCCCCUUCAUCCUCCUCCACCCCCACUGCUAUCCCCACAUUGCUAGUGUGCUCUCUCCCUUGUUCGCUAGGGAGAGAUAGAUUGCACCGGCGCGGAGAGGCCAAGGCGCGAUGGUGGACGCCGCCGUCUUUCUCAGAUCCGGGGGUGAGUGAGGGAGGUGCGUAACUAGGGAGAGAGCACACUAGCACUCUCUCAUCACCCAAGCGCCUCCACCGCCGCCGUCACGCCACGGGCCUCCUCCAAUCUGCCCUCGUCGGUUCUGUUCAAGGGGGAUCUGGCCGUUGACUGCUAGUGUUUCCCCUCCCUAGGCGAUCAGCCAUAACUGGUGGUAGUACUUCUAUCUAGCAAGGAGCGCUUUGGUUGGGAGCUCGAGCUUGAGUAGAACGUCGAAUUAGCUCAUGGUGGAAGUGGUUAAUCUUACUCGUAUGAUCGUCCAAGCAGCGUUAGCAAUGGACGCCAUGGAGGUGUUUCUAGGUGCUCUGAGUACCAAGGAGGAAAAAUGGCAAGCGCAAUCGGAAAAGUUUAAGAUGGUGGGGUCAUCGAGGACCAACUGAAAGUAACAGAGUAUGAACUAAUGAGAAGUAGGAACCUUCAAGAAAAUGAGAGACGGAGGGCAGUGGUACGCGAAAAAAGUACUGUUGUGCAGCAAGAUACGGAAGCAAACCACAUACCAAAAAAGAAAAGAAAGGCACCUUCCCACGCACCUGUAUGCAUGAAUGAAGGACGUGUUUUGAGGUCUAGUGUAACAAAAGAUCAUGAUCAUGUAGACCCUACACAUCAGCCCUCGAAAUGCGCAAACAUAAGGAUUGGACUCACAAUGAACCAUGAAGCCAGCGAUCCGCGUCAACUGGAUGUCUCAUACUUUCAUUUUUUUGGCUGUCCUUAUGUAAAUCUGGUCUAUGGUGUCUUGGUGCUUAGAACAGGCUGAAGUGUAUGUAUGUGACAAUUAGUUAAUUGAAUAAAAAAUGUUUGAUGCA